UACGUAGGUGGCAAGCGUUGUCCGGAUUUAUUGGGUUUAAAGGGUGCGUAGGCGGUUCAAUAAGUCAGUGGUGAAAUACGGCAGCUCAACUGUCGAGGUGCCAUUGAUACUGUUGGACUUGAGUACAGACGAGGUAGGCGGAAUUGACGGUGUAGCGGUGAAAUGCUUAGAUAUCGUCAAGAACACCGAUAGCGAAGGCAGCUUACUAGGCUGUAACUGACGCUGAGGCGCGAAAGCGUGGGGAGCAAACAGG
rnacentral:rRNA from 1 species